CGGCCGCGGUACCCUAACCGUGCAAAGGUAGCGCAAUCACUUGUUCUUUAAAUGAGGACUAGUAUGAACGGCAUCACGAGGGUUAUACUGUCUCCCCCAUCCAAUCAGUGAAACUGACCCCCCCGUGAAGAAGCGGGGAUAUAAAUAUAAGACGAGAAGACCCCAUGGAGCUUUAAACUCAGUACCACCUGCCUUAACUAACAUCCUACUAACCAGGCAGUUUUGACUACUAGUUUUCGGUUGGGGUGACCGCGGAGUAAAACAAAACCUCCACGAUGAAAGGAACUGACUUCCUUAUCCAAGAGCCACAACUCUAAGAAUCAAACCAUUGACAAAACUUGAUCCAAAUAUUUUUGAUCAACGAACCAAGUUACCCUGGGGAUAACAGCGCAAUCCACUUCAAGAGCCCCUAUCGACAAGUGGGUUUACGACCUCGAUGUUGGAUCAGGGUAUCCUAGUGGCGCAGCCGCUACUAAAGGUUCGUUUGUUCAACGAUUAAAACCCUA
rnacentral:rRNA from 1 species